rnacentral:rRNA from 1 species
AGGCUUAACACAUGCAAGUCGAGCGCGUGGCAACACGAGCGGCAGACGGGUGAGUAACGCGUGGGAAUCUACCCUUUUCUACGGAAUAACGCAGGGAAACUUGUGCUAAUACCGUAUGAGCCCUUCGGGGGAAAGAUUUAUCGGGAAAGGAUGAGCCCGCGUUGGAUUAGCUAGUUGGUGGGGUAAAGGCCUACCAAGGCGACGAUCCAUAGCUGGUCUGAGAGGA